rnacentral:rRNA from 1 species
CACGUAGGGGGCGAGCGUUGUCCGGAUUUAUUGGGCGUAAAGAGCUCGUAGGCGGCUUGGCAAGUCGGAUGUGAAACCUCCAGGCUCAACCUGGAGACGCCACUCGAUACUGCCAUGGCUAGAGUCCGGUAGGGGACCACGGAAUUCCUGGUGUAGCGGUGAAAUGCGCAGAUAUCAGGAGGAACACCGGUGGCGAAGGCGGUGGUCUGGGCCGGCACUGACGCUGAGGAGCGAAAGCAUGGGGAGCAAACAGG